rnacentral:sRNA from 1 species
AAUGCUGAGACAGACUCCCAGAAGAUCUGAGCGAGUCGCGUAGCUGAGCCCGGCAGGGGCUGGGGUCGUGCCGCUGCUAUGAGCUGCACCAUCGAGAAGAUCCUGACAGACGCCAAGACGCUGCUGGAGAGGCUGCGGGAGCACGAUGCGGCCGCCGAGUCGCUGGUGGAUCAGUCGGCGGCGCUGCACCGGCGGGUAGCCGCUAUGCGGGAGGCGGGGACAGCGCUUCCGGACCAGAGCUGUGGAUUUCCUUGGAGGAACACCAGGAUGCUUUGGAACUCAUCAUGAGCAAGUAUCGGAAACAGAUGUUACAGUUAAUGGUUGCUAAAAAAGCUGUGGAUGCUGAACCAGUCCUGAAAACUCACCAGUCUCACUCUGCAGUAAGAAACUUUGAAUAAAUUCGAAAUGAACCAAA